AGACGCCAUAGGGUCAUUACAGGGAUUUCACCCUCUCCGGAUACCUAAUCGACAUCUAUCAUUCACUUGCAUUUAAUCAAAUCACUCUCCAGGUCUCCAUGUCUGAUCGUUAUCUUCACUUCUUCUUCAUUCUCACUCAAAAUCAUAGCUGCCCUCAAAUCCAUUCCUUUUCCUUCUAUGCCCUCAGGAGAUCAAGAAAACCCUAAUCGGCCUCAAUCGUCAGUUACGGCCUUUCAAUGUGCAGACCGUCAAUUAGGUAUCAAAGGGUUCGAUUAGGGUUUCCCAAGGAGGAACCGCCCCUCGCUUUCUGCUACACGUCCACCAUCCACGUCGCACGCCACAUCGGAAACUUCAACCGCCGCUUAGAUUUUACAGGUUCAUGUUUUUAGUUGUGUGUUUUUGGGGAUUCUCUGUGUUUAUUUGGAUUUGAUUCUAGAUUUCUCUGUGUAUUCCCCUUAAAUUGGAUAUCAGAUUCUUUUCAUGUUUUUUCUUUCAUUUCUUUCUUAGAAAUGUGAGAAUACUUGGUUCUUCAUGAUGGUGGUCGUGGGGUGUCUUUGUUUCAUGAGAUGCAUAACCUAUAAGGUUUCAAAACUUGAUUCAAGAUUGGAUUUUAUGAUGCGGUUUUGUUAAAAUUUUGAAUUAAGAUUGCGUCUUUAUGUUCUUUUUGACAUGGGUUAUGAAGAUGUGAUGUGAUUUUGGUGAAAGUUUGAGUUAAUGUUGGAUUUUUAUGACAUGAAUUAUGACGUUGUGAUGUAAUUUUGGUUCAAGUUUGAGUUAAGAUUGAAAUUCCUAUGAUCUUUAUUUCAUGGUUUAUGAAGAGGGCCUUAUUUUUGUCUUCUUGAAGUUGUUGAUGUAGAAAGGAAUUGGAGUAUGACCAUAGUUGAAGAGAAGCUGAAUUCAAUAUAUGUUUCGAUGUUAUUAUUUUGUAUGGUUUUACGCUAUCUAGAUGUUAUACCGACACUGACUGGAGCGAACCAAUAUCAAUCAGUGUAACACGCAUAGGCCAAAUAAAUCUUGAUAAUUUAAUUUAACUGGUAAAAUAAUAAUAAAUAAUGGUGAGAAAUGAUUGAAAAGUAAAUAAAUAGGGGUACAGAAACAAACAGUGAUUGACCUCCAAACUAGGAAAGCUUUAUUUUGAUAACUGAUGGUUUUUUUAACCACCAUUGCCGAUGAUCACCGUCUGGCUUUCAAUCUUCUGUCAUCUUGAUCGUUAUCUCUUUCACGUACAAUUAAAUCAGGUUCUGCAUAAGUGGAGAAGCAAUAUUGGUGCAUAGAUGGUUGCCUGGUUCAAGAAAGAAGAAGAAAUGGGUGCAUUUGUGGCUGCAAGGGGUCGCAUUGGCCACUGGCAUAUUUGGAAUUUGGACAAAGUUUCAAGGGACAGAAGGGGUUGUGGCUAAUUUCUAUAGCUUGCAUUUUGUUCGUAGUUUUGAAUUUUUAUCGUAAUAAUAUUUAGCACAUACUAUUCAUGUUAUAUUAGACUCUUGCUAAUAUUGUUAAUUUGGGUGCAGGAGGCUUGCUCUUAUAAUUGUAGCUGCCAUUAUGCUUCUCAUAGCUGUUCUCGGUCUUCGUAAGAUAUGCUUUUAUAGCUUUUCCGGCUUUAUUUCAAGCUUAAAAAUCCAAAAUUUUAAUACUUCGAACUCGAAUGUAACUAUAAAUCUAUAACAAGUCAUGUUUUGAGUGUUGGUUGCAGUACAGAAAGGUAUAUGUCUAUAACAAGUCAGGUGAACCUACAUUCAAGCGACCUCGUCUCCAAACACCAUCACUAUUGUUGUCAUUUAAGAUCAUGAUCCUGCCGAUGGCGUCUCAAUUGAUCCUUCUAACCUCAAGGUCAUAUCCUAAUUUUCAUAUUAAUGUUUUUUCUUAUUAUUAUUGAUUGAUGAUUGAUUGAUUCAACGAUAUCUAUAUUUCUUUUAUAAAUUUGAAGUUUUAUUAGAAAACCAUGGAUGGCGGCAGCUUCUUCCUCCUGAUUGGUGCGUCUUUAUACUUAAUUACUCAAUGUCUUCAUGUUUAUCAAUGACUGGGCAGUAGUUAUGCAGAACCACAAGGCAACUUACAUUGGUAUCUUUAGUUUUGCAGUUGUUUAAUUAUAAUAUGAGUUGAAUCUAUGUUAUGUUAUGUAUUGUAUCCUUGCAGUGGUUUUGCAUUUUGCACAUUCUGGGUGUCUAUUAAACUUGCCAGAUCUUCAAAGGUGUAUGCUGUAGUUGUAGCCUUUUUAGUUGUGUGUAGUCAUUUGGUAAUUUAAGCUGCAACUGUAGUUAGAGAAUAUAGAAUGGCUAAAAACUUUAUACAAAUAAAAACUUAUAGUAGAAACCCUUAAAUCUAUUGUUAAUACUCAUUAGGGUACACUCGGCACCGGUCGGGUACCCUGCGAGUAUUGUGAAUAGCUCGGCUACACCGCCGCAACCUCCAACCUGCUAGCAAUCAGGUAGCCCAAAUUGGUACCAUAACCAUCAAUGAUAAUUUGUGAAUUGAGAUAUUAGUUUGGUAUUCAAAAUAAAUUACGAGAAGCCUGCCAUAGCAUUUGCGCCGAAUAAAACAAAAGUACCCGCGGCAACGCGCGGGCAUUCCCACUUGUUGGUAUUGUUAGGUUUUGAAUUUGGGAUUAGUUUUUUAUGUCUGGUUGUUGUUAUUAUUAGUUAGCUUUAGGGGAAUAUAUGUGUUUAUAGUUUUGGUGAAAUGAGUUGAGUUGAAUUGUGUUAAUGGUUUUGUGGAGUUGCAAGCAAUUUUGUUUGAUUGAAUGUUGGUUUGGCAUUUUGCAGUGCUGCGAUCCAGGUAGAUGCUUCGGUUGCUCGCUUUGCACCACUGGAGAAGGAGUGUACGGAGAAGCAAUGCUCAAGCAAAAGGUAUUGCAGAGUUUUGUUACUUGAAGUUUGAUGCAAUUUUGGUCGAAAUGACAUGAUUGCUAACAUAAAUGAGUUGAGGUAUUGCUCGUUGUUGUUGUUGUUAUUAUUUGCAGUUUGCACAUUGCAGACCCAUUUGGUUUGAUUUGGGCAACUCUAAAUCCAAUAAGACAGAUACUCUUUUGUCUUUUGAACUAAAACCUUUGUUGUUUGUUGGAAACGCUUUUUUUUU